rnacentral:rRNA from 1 species
GGGCGCAAACCGAGUGGCGUAAGGGUGAGUAAUGCAUUGAUAACCUGCCUUUGAGAUGGGAAUAACAACGUUCCAAGCAAUUGGGGCUACCGAAAGGGUUGCUAAUACCCAAUAAAACUAUUGCUGCUAUUGGUAGUAAUAGUCAAAUAAAUGGGGUCGAAAGAUUUCAUUUGCUCGAAGAGGGGUCAAUGUCCUAUCAGCUAGUUGGUAGAGUAAUAGCCUACCAAGGCAAAGACGGGUAGCCGGCCUGAGAGGGUGGUCGGCCACACUGGGACUGAGACACUGCCCAGACUCCUACGGGAGGCUGCAGUCGAGAAUCUUUCGCAAUGCCCGAAAGGGUGACGAAGCGACGCCGCGUGCGGGAAGAAGGCCUUCGGGUUGUAAACCGCUGUCGGGAGUUAAGAAAUGCAAGGAUGUUAAUAGCAUCUUUGUUUGACUAAGGCUCCGGAGGAAGCCACGGCUAACUCUGUGCCAGCAGCCGCGGUAAUACAGAGGCGGCAAGCGUUGUUCGGAAUUAUUGGGCGUAAAGAGCACGUAGGCGGCUGUGUAAGUCGGUUGUGAAAGCCUUCCGCUUAACGGAAGAACGGCAUCCGAUACUGCAUAGCUCGAGUGCGGGAGGGGAGAGUGGAACUUCUGGUGGAGCGGUGAAAUGCGUAGAUAUCAGAAGGAACACCGGCGGCGAAGGCGACUCUCUGGCCCGUAACUGACGCUGAGUGUGCGAAAGCUAGGGGAGCAAACGGGAUUAGAUACCCCGGUAGUCCUAGCCGUAAACGAUGGGCACUAGGUAGAGGGGUUUUGAUUAUCUCUCUGCCGGAGCUAACGCAUUAAGUGCCCCGCCUGGGGAGUACGGCCGCAAGGCUAAAACUCAAAAGAAUUGACGGGGGCUCGCACAAGCGGUGGAGCAUGUGGCUUAAUUCGAUGCAACGCGAAGAACCUUACCGGGGUUUGACAUGGUAGAAGUAGGAGCCCGAAAGGGCAACGAACGGUAUCCAGUCCGUAACUAUCACAGGUGUUGCAUGGCUGUCGUCAGCUCGUGUCGUGAGACGUUGGGUUAAGUCCCCUAACGAGCGAAACCCUUGUCUUUAGUUGCCAACAGGUCAUGCUGGGUACUCUAAAGAGACUGCCGUCGUCAAGACGGAGGAAGGUGGGGAUGACGUCAAGUCAUCAUGGCCCUUAUAUCCCGGGCUGCACACGUGCUACAAUGGUCGGUACAAAGGGAUGCUAAACCGCAAGGCGGAGCGAAACCCAGAAAGCCGAUCUCAGUUCAGAUUGGAGGCUGAAACCCGCCUCCAUGAAGUAGGAAUCGCUAGUAAUCGCGGAUCAGCUACGCCGCGGUGAAUAUGUUCCCGAGCCUUGUACACACCGCCCGUCAAGCCACCCAAGCAAGAUGCACCCAAAAUCAUUGGCCUAACCAGCAAUGGAGGGAAGUGCUUAAGGUGUGUUUUGUGAGGA